CAGUCGCCGCGGGAAUACGAAGGGGGCUAGCGUUGUUCGGAAUUACUGGGCGUAAAGCGCACGUAGGCGGAUAUUUAAGUCAGGGGUGAAAUCCCGCAGCUCAACUGCGGAACUGCCUUUGAUACUGGGUAUCUUGAGUAUGGAAGAGGUUAGUGGAAUUGCGAGUGUAGAGGUGAAAUUCGUAGAUAUUCGCAGGAACACCAGUGGCGAAGGCGGCUAACUGGUCCAUAACUGACGCUGAGGUGCGAAAGCGUGGGGAGCAAACAGGAUUAGAUACCCCAGUAUCCCUGUCUCUUAUACA
rnacentral:rRNA from 1 species